AGUGAAUGGUGUGCACAGUGUUAGUCUGUGUUAUGUGUUGUUGCUGGUCUACGUUUUGCAGACACAGCAGCAGCACUCACUCCACACCUGCAGCCAUAGAACAAUAGGAGAUCAUAGUACUGGCUCUUGACGUCUUUGUUGACAUCUCACCAUUGGCCAGCCUCCAAAUUCUCCGACAAUA